UGUAAAUUAAGAAAGUCCAAGGACUUCCCUGGCGGUCCAGUGAUUAGGAGUCUGCACUUCCAACACAGGGGGCAUGAGCUCGGUCCCUGGUCAGGGAAGUAAGAUCCCACAUGC